AUGGUGCCGAGCAUCACCCUCGUAGCACCGAGCACCAUCCCCAAGCAGGGAGUUGCAGCAGCACCAAGGGUGCUCGGGGUGAGGCCAGAGAGGUUGGCCAGGAGCAGGCAGGGAUUUGGGUGGCCCCGUGCACAACUGCUGCUCUCUCUUCUCGUCCUCCCUUGCAUCAUGUUUACAUGCUUUGAGCCAAAGGGGCAUGAAAAUGGAGUACAGCCCCGAGCAGAGGGCACACGUGGGGCUGCAGAGUGGCUGGGUGACAGUGAGGCUCCAUCAUCUUCAUGGCAGCGCUUAUCUGCUCAAGACUCAGCGGGGAAGAGGUGCCCAGUCCCAUCCAGGUGGAGGAGAGGAGACGGGGNNNNNNNNNNNNNNNNNNNNUCCUUGUGGCUGCUGCUGCGGGGGCAGCGGAGCCUCAGCGCCGUGCCACCUGCCGAGCAGCUGCUGCCAGAGCGGGCAAAGUCUGCGGCGCGACCUUCAGCCCCCACCUGCCACCUCUCCCGCUGGCCCCGCUGCUUGGCAGCCACCCCACCGUGUCAGGUCCCUCGCCAGCACUGCCAGCUAAGCAUCACGGUGCCGAGCAUCACCCCCGCAGCACCGAGCACCAUCCCCAAGCAGGGAGUUGCAGCAGCACCAAGGGUGCUCGGGGUGAGGCCAGAGAGGUUGGCCAGGAGCAGGCAGGGAUUUGGGUGGCCCCGUGCACAACUGCUGCUCUCUCUUCUCGUCCUCCCUUGCAUCAUGUUUACACGCUUCGAGCCAAAGGGGCAUGAAAAUGGGGUACAGCCCCGAGCAGAGGGCACACGUGGGGCUGCAGAGUGGCUGGGUGACAGUGAGGCUCCAUCAUCUUCAUGGCAGCGCUUAUCUGCUCAAGACUCAGCAGGGAAGAGGUGCCCAGUCCCGUCCAGGUGGAGGAGAGGAGACGGGGGCUGUGGCGGGGCUGUCCUGGUGCCCCCGGCUCAGCCAGCCCCAGGCUGUGGGAACGGCGCCGUGGCUGCCCCGGCUUGCAUCUCUCCAGCCACGCCACUGUCUGCAGCAUUUCACAUUGAUUAUAAUUCAUGGUUCUGGUUGUGUUUCUUUUGUCCUUUUAACAACAUUUGCUGCCUGGGAGAGGAGAAGCAAGGAACUCCUCCAACCGGAGCUUGCACCGCACCAGGGCCAGAGGGAUGCAGUGCAGCACCCCACUGCCCACAGCCCCCAGUGCUUGCAACUGCCCUGGAGCUGCACCCAAAUUGGGAAAAGCCUUUGUGCCAUGGGCUCGUGCUGCAGACAGCACUCUCCAUGCCGGGGUUUCCCAAGCUCACCACCCAGAUCCCAGAGGGCUUCAGCCACCCCAAAAUCCCCAGUGUGCCUUCUUGGGGAGCCACCACCUGGGUUGAGCUGUGCCCAGGGACUUGCUGUCUCUUUGCACUGGUGUGGCUGGUGUGGCACGGCACGGCACGGCAGCGUGCAUCCCAAAGGGCUGGUCUCUCCGCUCCAGUCAGGCAAAGCAAACAGGCAGGCUAUGCCCACAGCAAACAGCGCCAGCCACGACGGAAAUCUCCUCCGAGCCCAGAGCAAACGCGGCGCCCAGCAUCUGCGCUGCAGGAGCAGCCCAUGACGGAUGCUCUCCCGGUAAUUAAAAUACACGCCAGGGCGUUCGGCCACUGCCAGCCCAAUUAUUCACAUGCCAGCCUCCCCAGGAGAGGCAGCGCUCAUCUGCCCCAAAGCUCGUGGCUGGUGCUCAUCUCCCCACGCCUUUGGGGCCGUGCGGGUCCCCGGGGUGCAGGCAGAGCCACAGGGGCAGCUCGGCAGCGCUGA
rnacentral:lncRNA from 1 species